rnacentral:rRNA from 1 species
GACGAACGCUGGCGGCGUGCUUAACACAUGCAAGUCGAACGGAAAGGCCCUGCUUUUGUGGGGUGCUCGAGUGGCGAACGGGUGAGUAACACGUGAGUAACCUGCCCUUGACUUUGGGAUAACUUCAGGAAACUGGGGCUAAUACCGGAUAGGAGCUCCUGCUGCAUGGUGGGGGUUGGAAAGUGUCGGCGGUUGGGGAUGGACUCGCGGCUUAUGAGCUUGUUGGUGGGGUAGUGGCUUACCAAGGCUUUGACGGGUAGGCGGCCUGAGAGGGUGACCGGCCACAAUGGGACUGAGAUACGGCCCAGACUCCUACGUGAGGCAGCAGUGGGGAAUAUUGCGGAAUGGGCGGAAGCCUGUUGCAGCAACGCCGCGUGCGGGAUGACGGCCUUCGGGUUGUAAACCGCUUUCGCCUGUGACGAAGCGUGAGUGACGGUAAUGGGUAAAGAAGCACCGGCUAACUACGUG